GAUGAAGAACGUAGCGAAAUGCGAUACUUGGUGUGAAUUGCAGAAUCCCGUGAACCAUCGAGUCUUUGAACGCAAGUUGCGCCCGAAGCCGUCAGGCCGAGGGCACGCCUGCCUGGGCGUCACACGCCGUUGCCCCCCCGCGCCCCGCGCCCAACGCUUUGGGAGCGACCGCGGGGCGGGCUGAUGAUGGCCUCCCGUGCGCUCCGCCGCGCGGUUGGCCCAAAUACCGAGUCCCCGGCGACGUGCGCCACGACGAUCGGUGGUUGAGAGACCUCUGUCGCAAGUCGUGCGCGCCCGUCGCGUCACGCGGGCUCGCAUAGCGCCUCGCGCCGCACCCGGUGCGGAGCUUUCAACGCGACCCCAGGUCAGGCGGGGUUACCCGCUGAAUUUAAGCAUAUCAAUAAGCGGAGGA
rnacentral:misc_RNA from 1 species